AUGCAAGACUACUUCACGGACAAUCCAACAUAUCCGCCGCACCUCUUCUGGAUAAGGUACCGAAUGCGCUGAUCCCUCUUUGUAAAAAUAGUGCAAGCUUGCGAGACCAAUUGUCGGUAUUUUACUCAAAGAAGAAAUGUCACGGGCAUGAAGUGAUUUAGUGCAUAUCAAAAAAUGUCGGCAGCUAUGUGGGUAAUUGCAUACGGCAUUCCGGCUGACUAUGCCGAUGAGUACAUUCGCAUUGGUGAAGAUACUACAAUUGAGACAGUGCGUGUGUUUGUCAAAGUGAUCAUCCGUGUAUUUUGUCCUGAAUAUCUUCGGGCACCCAAUGGAGAAGAUACAAAAAAGUUGAUGGCGUAA
rnacentral:rRNA from 1 species